UGUUUUGAAGUUUGCUUUAAAUGCAAACAUUUGUCGAACUAUGUUAAAUUGUGAAAUCAAAACUCAGCUGGACUCAUCGAAAUUGUCACCAAGACGUUCUGUAAGGUGGAGCUGCGAGCUCAUCAGGGAGAAGGUGGAAUUAUCUUUGUUGUUUUGCUGGUCACCUUUUGAGCGGCUAACGACGUCUGGGUGGAAGCAGUGGUUUAUGCUAUCACUUACCAAAUCACAAUCAAUUUACGCUGCAGCAAGCAGCCACUGGCGAUCGAUGCUGUCUAUUCCGAUGGUCCGAUUUGCCCAGAUCCCGUGGUGUUUGGCUGGAGCCGGCCUUCCUCUGCAUUCCAUAUGCGAUACUUGGACUGUGUGUAGCGUUUCCGUCCAUCAAGCCGAAGCGAAGCGAUGCGUUUUCUCUCCGUGGUCGGCAGAUGCGGAUUUGUUCCGGCGGUGCAAACAAGGGAAUUCUCAUGCGAAGAUUGAACUUGAUGAGGUAACACCGGUAACACUCACCGGCUUUCGAUUUCUUGCAAGUUCUCAGUAAUUUGCAACAUUGAACUGUUUUGACAAAAUACGUUUGACAGUUGGGACGUCCGAGAAAGCAGUCACCAGCUUUGAAAGGUGUCGGAGUUAACACGUUUAGUUUGGCCCACCAAGAAUUUUGAUUUUUUCGA